rnacentral:rRNA from 1 species
UACGUAGGGUGCGAGCGUUGUCCGGAAUUAUUGGGCGUAAAGAGCUCGUAGGCGGUUUGCCACGUCUGCUGUGAAAUCCCGAGGCUCAACCUCGGGCCUGCAGUGGGUACGGGCAGACUGGAGUGCGGUAGGGGAGAAUGGAAUUCCUGGUGUAGCGGUGGAAUGCGCAGAUAUCAGGAGGAACACCGAUGGCGAAGGCAGUUCUCUGGGCCGUAACUGACGCUGAGGAGCGAAAGCGUGGGGAGCGAACAGG